GGGGGCGUAAAGGUUUCGACGGGGGGAGGGAGGCCUGGGCAGCGGGUAGCAGCGGGGGAACUGCUCUAUAACUCCUCCAAAAAAUUAACUGACAACAAUAAUUAUCAGUUGCUCGCAGCCUGAGUGCUGCGCGUUCCGCCCACUCUUGUGUCGUGUGGGGCCGGGGCGUCCUUUAGACACAGCACCUGAACGGACUUAAGCUUUGCGGACCGGCAGGAACUCAUGAAGCUA
rnacentral:tmRNA from 1 species